GCGCCCGUAGCUCAGCUGGAUAGAGUGCUAGGCUACGAACCUAGAGGUCGGGGGUUCGAAUCCUCCCGGGCGCGCCA
rnacentral:tRNA from 1 species